rnacentral:rRNA from 1 species
AUUGAACGCUGGCGGCAGGCCUAACACAUGCAAGUCGAGCGAGCGGCGGACGGGUGAGUAAUGUCUGGGAAACUGCCUGAUGUCGUGGGAUAACUACUGGACACGGUAGCUCAUACCCCAUACCAUCAGAUGUGCCCACAUGGGAUUAGCUAGUAGGUGGGGUAAUGGCUCACCUAUGCGACGAUCCCUAGCUGGUCUGAGAGGAUGACCAGCCACACUGGAACUGAGACACGGUCCAGACUCCUACGGGAGGCAGCAGUGGGGAAGAUUGCACAAUGGGCGCAAGCCUGAUGCAGCCAUGCCGCGUGUGUGAAGAAGGCCUGCGGGUUGUAAAGCACUUUCAGCGGGGAGGCGUUACCCGCAGAAGAAGCACCGGCUAACUCCGUGCCAGCAGCCGCGGUAAUUC